GACGAACGCUGGCGGCGUGCUUAACACAUGCAAGUCGAACGGAAAGGCCCUGCUUUUGUGGGGUGCUCGAGUGGCGAACGGGUGAGUAACACGUGAGUAACCUGCCCUUGACUUUGGGAUAACUUCAGGAAACUGGGGCUAAUACCGGAUAGGAGCUCCUGCUGCAUGGUGGGGGUUGGAACGUUUCGGCGGUUGGGGAUGGACUCGCGGCUUAUCAGCUUGUUGGUGGGGUAGUGGCUUACCAAGGCUUUGACGGGUAGCCGGCCUGAGAGGGUGACCGGCCACAUUGGGACUGAGAUGCGGCCCAGACUCCUACGGGAGGCAGCAGUGGGGAAUAUUGCACAAUGGGCGGAAGCCUGAUGCAGCAACGCCGCGUGCGGGAUGACGGCCUUCGGGUUGUAAACCGCUUUCGCCUGUGACGAAGCGUGAGUGACGGUAAUGGGUAAAGAAGCACCGGCUAACUACGUG
rnacentral:rRNA from 1 species